UACGUAGGGGGCAAGCGUUGUCCGGAUUUAUUGGGCGUAAAGAGCGUGUAGGCGGCCAGACAGGUCUGCUGUGAAAACUCGAGGCUCAACCUCGAGACGCCGGUGGAAACCGUUUGGCUAGAGUCCGGAAGAGGAGAGUGGAAUUCCUGGUGUAGCGGUGAAAUGCGCAGAUAUCAGGAAGAACACCCGUGGCUAAGGCGGCUCUCUAGUACGGUACUGACGCUGAGACGCGAAAGCGUGGGGAGCGAACCGG
rnacentral:rRNA from 1 species